AAACAAUGCAUUGGGAAUUUUUUAAUUAACUCCUUGAAUUGCUUACAAGCUUCAUAUAAUGUUUCAUCCUCAUAUAACCGAAAGGAUGUAAUAUAGUUCCUCAAUUU
rfam:Gossypium hirsutum cultivar TM-1 chromosome 23, whole genome shotgun sequence